AUGGAUUUUGUGAACAAGUGUAAGAGACUAUUGACAUGCACAAAGAGCAUUCAUCCAGAGGAAACUUGCAGCGGAAGCAAUCGCAAAUUAUCGUCAGAGAGGUGUCACAAAAAGCAAAAAGACAGUCAUAAGAAACCACCAAAUGGUUGUGUUUGUGUUUACGUUGGACCUGAGAGACAGAGAUUCAUAAUCAAGAUCAAAAUAUUGAAUCAUCCUUUGUUCAAGUCACUUUUGGAAGAUGUUGAGAAUGAAUAUGGUUAUAGAUACGAUGGUCCUCUAUGGCUUCCUUGA